rnacentral:rRNA from 1 species
GGGUUGUGAGGUUAAGCGACUAAGCGUACACGGUGGAUGCCCUGGCAGUCAGAGGCGAUGAAGGACGUGCUAAUCUGCGAUAAGCGUCGGUAAGGUGAUAUGAACCGUUAUAACCGGCGAUUUCCGAAUGGGGAAACCCAGUGUGAUUCGUCACACUAUCAUUAACUGAAUCCAUAGGUUAAUGAGGCGAACCGGGGGAACUGAAACAUCUAAGUACCCCGAGGAAAAGAAAUCAACCGAGAUUCCCCCAGUAGCGGCGAGCGAACGGGGAGGAGCCCAGAGCCUGAAUCAGUGUGUGUGUUAGUGGAAGCGUCUGGAAAGGCGCGCGAUACAGGGUGACAGCCCCGUACACAAAAAUGCACAUGCUGUGAGCUCGAUGAGUAGGGCGGGACACGUGGUAUCCUGUCUGAAUAUGGGGGGACCAUCCUCCAAGGCUAAAUACUCCUGACUGACCGAUAGUGAACCAGUACCGUGAGGGAAAGGCGAAAAGAACCCCGGCGAGGGGAGUGAAAAAGAACCUGAAACCGUGUACGUACAAGCAGUGGGAGCCUCUUUAUGGGGUGACUGCGUACCUUUUGUAUAAUGGGUCAGCGACUUAUAUUCUGUAGCAAGGUUAACCGAAUAGGGGAGCCGAAGGGAAACCGAGUCUUAACUGGGCGUUAAGUUGCAGGGUAUAGACCCGAAACCCGGUGAUCUAGCCAUGGGCAGGUUGAAGGUUGGGUAACACUAACUGGAGGACCGAACCGACUAAUGUUGAAAAAUUAGCGGAUGACUUGUGGCUGGGGGUGAAAGGCCAAUCAAACCGGGAGAUAGCUGGUUCUCCCCGAAAGCUAUUUAGGUAGCGCCUCGUGAAUUCAUCUCCGGGGGUAGAGCACUGUUUCGGCAAGGGGGUCAUCCCGACUUACCAACCCGAUGCAAACUGCGAAUACCGGAGAAUGUUAUCACGGGAGACACACGGCGGGUGCUAACGUCCGUCGUGAAGAGGGAAACAACCCAGACCGCCAGCUAAGGUCCCAAAGUCAUGGUUAAGUGGGAAACGAUGUGGGAAGGCCCAGACAGCCAGGAUGUUGGCUUAGAAGCAGCCAUCAUUUAAAGAAAGCGUAAUAGCUCACUGGUCGAGUCGGCCUGCGCGGAAGAUGUAACGGGGCUAAACCAUGCACCGAAGCUGCGGCAGCGACGCUUAUGCGUUGUUGGGUAGGGGAGCGUUCUGUAAGCCUGCGAAGGUGUGCUGUGAGGCAUGCUGGAGGUAUCAGAAGUGCGAAUGCUGACAUAAGUAACGAUAAAGCGGGUGAAAAGCCCGCUCGCCGGAAGACCAAGGGUUCCUGUCCAACGUUAAUCGGGGCAGGGUGAGUCGACCCCUAAGGCGAGGCCGAAAGGCGUAGUCGAUGGGAAACAGGUUAAUAUUCCUGUACUUGGUGUUACUGCGAAGGGGGGACGGAGAAGGCUAUGUUGGCCGGGCGACGGUUGUCCCGGUUUAAGCGUGUAGGCUGGUUUUCCAGGCAAAUCCGGAAAAUCAAGGCUGAGGCGUGAUGACGAGGCACUACGGUGCUGAAGCAACAAAUGCCCUGCUUCCAGGAAAAGCCUCUAAGCAUCAGGUAACAUCAAAUCGUACCCCAAACCGACACAGGUGGUCAGGUAGAGAAUACCAAGGCGCUUGAGAGAACUCGGGUGAAGGAACUAGGCAAAAUGGUGCCGUAACUUCGGGAGAAGGCACGCUGAUAUGUAGGUGAAGCGACUUGCUCGUGGAGCUGAAAUCAGUCGAAGAUACCAGCUGGCUGCAACUGUUUAUUAAAAACACAGCACUGUGCAAACACGAAAGUGGACGUAUACGGUGUGACGCCUGCCCGGUGCCGGAAGGUUAAUUGAUGGGGUUAGCGGUAACGCGAAGCUCUUGAUCGAAGCCCCGGUAAACGGCGGCCGUAACUAUAACGGUCCUAAGGUAGCGAAAUUCCUUGUCGGGUAAGUUCCGACCUGCACGAAUGGCGUAAUGAUGGCCAGGCUGUCUCCACCCGAGACUCAGUGAAAUUGAACUCGCUGUGAAGAUGCAGUGUACCCGCGGCAAGACGGAAAGACCCCGUGAACCUUUACUAUAGCUUGACACUGAACAUUGAGCCUUGAUGUGUAGGAUAGGUGGGAGGCUUUGAAGUGUGGACGCCAGUCUGCAUGGAGCCGACCUUGAAAUACCACCCUUUAAUGUUUGAUGUUCUAACGUUGGCCCCUAAUCGGGGUUGCGGACAGUGUCUGGUGGGUAGUUUGACUGGGGCGGUCUCCUCCUAAAGAGUAACGGAGGAGCACGAAGGUUGGCUAAUCCUGGUCGGACAUCAGGAGGUUAGUGCAAUGGCAUAAGCCAGCUUGACUGCGAGCGUGACGGCGCGAGCAGGUGCGAAAGCAGGUCAUAGUGAUCCGGUGGUUCUGAAUGGAAGGGCCAUCGCUCAACGGAUAAAAGGUACUCCGGGGAUAACAGGCUGAUACCGCCCAAGAGUUCAUAUCGACGGCGGUGUUUGGCACCUCGAUGUCGGCUCAUCACAUCCUGGGGCUGAAGUAGGUCCCAAGGGUAUGGCUGUUCGCCAUUUAAAGUGGUACGCGAGCUGGGUUUAGAACGUCGUGAGACAGUUCGGUCCCUAUCUGCCGUGGGCGCUGGAGAACUGAGGGGGGCUGCUCCUAGUACGAGAGGACCGGAGUGGACGCAUCACUGGUGUUCGGGUUGUCAUGCCAAUGGCACUGCCCGGUAGCUAAAUGCGGAAGAGAUAAGUGCUGAAAGCAUCUAAGCACGAAACUUGCCCCGAGAUGAGUUCUCCCUGACUCC